AAGAUUAUAAUUUUAAGUCUAAUCUGCUCCMUGAUUAUAAUUAUUAAAUAGCUGCAGAAUUUUAACUGUACAAAGGUAGCAUAAUCAAUAGUUUUUUAAUUAAAAGCUGGAAUGAAGGAUUUAAUAAGGUAAAUAUUGUCUCAAGUUUAUUAAAAUUAUAAUUUUUUUUUUAGUAAAAAUACUAAAUUGAAUUUAAAAGACGAGAAGACCCUAUAGAUUUUUAUAUUUAAGAUUAAAUUUAUUUAUAUUAUUAAUAUUUAUAUUAAUUAAAAAAAUAUUAGGUUGGGGAAAUUAUUAAAUUAAUAAAAUUUUAAUUUAUAUUAAACAAAAAUUAUUGAAUUUAUGAUCUUAAAAAUUUAAAUUAAUAGAAUAAAUUACCUUAGGGAUAACAGCGUAAUUUUUUUUGAGAGAUCUUAUUAAUAAAAAAGUUUGCGACCUCGAUGUUGAAUUAAGAUAAAAUUUUAAUGUAGAAGUUAAAAAAUUUUGGUCUGUUCGACCAUUAAAAUCUUACGUGAUCUGA
rnacentral:rRNA from 1 species